UCUGUUAUGAUUAUAACAGAGAAUCAUGUAAGGUUUCGGAGAACCGGAACGAGAAAAAUGUCGAAAAAACUUCAAAAGGUUUCUCUGCAGUAGCCACUAUACUCCACUAUUUUAAGAUACUGCAUGCAGCACUAGCAUUGAAAAAAAAAACUCUUCGGAGUACGUAUAAAUUCCUUAAUAAUAAUAACAAUAAUAAUUAGGUUUCCAUCAUCUUUUGAUCUACCCAUGCCUGAAAUAAGGCAAAGUUU